AGUGAACGCUGGCGGUAGGCCUAACACAUGCAAGUCGAACGGCAGCACAGUAAGAGCUUGCUCUUACGGGUGGCGAGUGGCGGACGGGUGAGGAAUACAUCGGAAUCUACUUUUUCGUGGGGGAUAACGUAGGGAAACUUACGCUAAUACCGCAUACGACCUACGGGUGAAAGCAGGGGAUCUUCGGACCUUGCGCGAUUGAAUGAGCCGAUGUCGGAUUAGCUAGUUGGCGGGGUAAAGGCCCACCAAGGCGACGAUCCGUAGCUGGUCUGAGAGGAUGAUCAGCCACACUGGAACUGAGACACGGUCCAGACUCCUACGGGAGGCAGCAGUGGGGAAUAUUGGACAAUGGGCGCAAGCCUGAUCCAGCAAUACCGCGUGGGUGAAGAAGGACUUCGGGUUGUAAAGCCCUUUUGUUGGGAAAGAAAAGCAGCAGGUUAAUACCCCGCUGUUCUGACGGUACCCAAAGAAUAAGCACCGGCUAACUUCGUG
rnacentral:rRNA from 1 species